GAUGAACGCUAGCUACAGGCUUAACACAUGCAAGUCGAGGGGUCUUUUGGAGCUUGCUUUAGAAGACGACCGGCGCACGGGUGAGUAACGCGUAUCCAACCUGCCCUUCAUAUUGGGAUAGCCUUCCGAAAGGAAGAUUAAUACCGAAUAACAUGAGAUAGUUGCCUGAUUUUCUCAUGAAAGCUCCGGCGAUGAAGGAUGGGGAUGCGUUCCAUUAGGUAGUAGGCGGGGUAACGGCCCACCUAGCCGACGAUGGAUAGGGGUUCUGAGAGGAAGGUCCCCCACACUGGAACGGAGACACGGUCCAGACUCCUACGGGAGGCAGCAGUGAGGAAUAUUGGUCAAUGGGCGCAAGCCUGAACCAGCCAAGUAGCGUGAAGGAUGACUGCCCUAUGGGUUGUAAACUUCUUUUAUACGGGAACAAACCUUGGUACGCGUACCAAAUUGCGUGUACCGUAUGAAUAAGCAUCGGCUAACUCCGUGCCAGCCGCCGCCGUAACAC
rnacentral:rRNA from 1 species